rnacentral:rRNA from 1 species
UGGCGGCGUGCCUAACACAUGCAAGUCGCGGGAGAAAGUGACCUUCGGGUCGCGAGUAAACCGGCGCACGGGUGAGUAACACGUAGGUAACGUACCUUCGAACCUGGGAUAACCAGUCGAAAGAUUGGCUAAUACCGGAUACGACCGAGAGGACUUCGGCCCUCACGGUGAAAGGCGGCCUCUGCUUGCAAGCUGUCAUUCGAAGAGCGGCCUGCGCACCAUUAGCUAGUUGGUGAGGUAACGGCUCACCAAGGCGACGAUCGGUAGCUGGUCUGAGAGGAUGACCAGCCUCACUGGGACUGAGACACGGCCCAGACUCCUACGGGAAGCAGCAGUGGGGAAUAUUGGACAAUGGGCGCAAGCCUGAUCCAGCCAUGCCGCGUGGGUGAUGAAGGCCCUAGGGUUGUAAAGCCCUUUCGGCGGGGAAGAUAAUGACGGUACCCGCAGAAGAAGCCCCGGCUAACUUCGUGCCAGCAGCCGCGGUAAUACGAAGGGGGCUAGCGUUGCUCGGAAUUACUGGGCGUAAAGCGCACGUAGGCGGCUUCUUAAGUCGGUGGUGAAAUCCUGGAGCUCAACUCCAGAACUGCCUUCGAAACUGGGAAGCUCGAGUCCGGGAGAGGUGAGUGGAACUGCGAGUGUAGAGGUGAAAUUCGUAGAUAUUCGCAAGAACACCAGUGGCGAAGGCGGCUCACUGGCCCGGUACUGACGCUGAGGUGCGAAAGCGUGA